rnacentral:tRNA from 1 species
CGAUAGCUCAGCUGGAUAGAGCAGAGGACUUCUAAGCCUAAGGUCGCUGGUUCGAACCCAGCUCG